rnacentral:lncRNA from 1 species
CUGAAAUGCAACUCCAGCUUUUGUUAAGGAAAGAAACCUUGCAACACGGAUUUUAAAGCCCUUUGCCUUUGUCAGAGUCAGAGACAUAAGUGGGGUCUUUCUUUUUUUCAUUAUUUUUUAAUUGAGUCAGUGCUCCUUCAUUACCUCCAGGAGCCGCAAUGCAGAAAAGCAUUCCUCAUUAGAGCAAAAAACCCUGCUGCUGCCUUGCAUGAGGGAUGUACCUAUUCUAGGCGUUUUGCUGUCCACAAGAACAUCUCCUUAAGGCAAGAAGCAGGGUUUCUUUUCCUUUCUUGCUGGAGGCUGAGAGGGUGUACUGGGAAAUCAUAGCGCUGUAAUUCCCGUGCUGUUGGGUUUUCUAAUAAGCAUCACUUCUGGUCAAGUAGGCAGGGCAUGGGAGCACAGGAACCCAGGGCUAACUCCAAGUGGUUAUUUUUAUGUCCCUGUAACCUCAGCUAGAUCAGAUCCUGUGAACAGUGCCAGAGUGGCAGCCCCCUAGGAAUGGGCUGACCAAGCUUUUGCGGCGUGUGCUGACCUCUGCAAUCUGUUCCUGGCUCCCCAGCAAGUGGACACUAAGUGAGCUCGGGUUUGAUGACACACACAAGCUGAUUACUACCUCUGAAAUACCAGCAAAACUGGGAAUGUUUAGACAUGCACAAGCUGGUGCCCUCAGGACCUUGCUGAGUUGUCCUUGUCACUGGGAGGAAUGUCUCUGGUCUGUGGCUGUACUUCAAGGAAAUCAUUUCUGUCCAGGCAUGAUCAGAGCUCGUUCCCUUCUUCCAAGGGCAGCUUGUGGGCUCCCUGCUCCAUGUGCAGGAACAAGGGGGGCUUUAAGAAUUGUUGAUCUGUUCCUAUGGUUUAGAAAUUACUCCCUCACAGGACAAUACUAUUACCUGCUUAAUCAUAAGAUUUUCUUCAACGUUCACAUUCUCAGUAUUGUAAAUGCUUCUGAAUGGCUGUGUCAAAUGCACAUCUUAUUUGUGUUGUUUUGUGGACCUCAGCAACAAAGUUGA